GGCGGGCCCAAAGUCACUAGAGUUUUGCUCCUGGGACGGGACGUCCGAGAGGCAACAAAAGCAAAUAUCGAAAAGGAGUAGAACAGUUGGAAUUUAUAAUCUUCCUUCUGAACUAACAGACCAAGAAAUUCUCGAGUUCUCUUCAGAGACCAACUGGGGAUCAACAAUUCAAUUUAAUUCUGACACCCAAGCUUUUGGUUCCAGAGGGCCAUAGUCUUCAUAUACUUCAGCACUCCAUGAAGGCUUUCUUGGUACUGUUCAAAGGCCAGAGGAUCUACUACCACAGAACCAUUCUAGAUGUGAGUUCCUAGUGUGAAAGGACUGGGAGUUAACAGAAGAGCCACAGUGAGCCAUAUCUUUGUGAAGCUGCCUUUUCUUCAUAUACUUCAACCAAAAUUUCAUAUUGCAGCAGGUUGAAUGCUGAAGUACAUAUCAGAAUCCAGCAUUCUUCUAUUAAGCCAGACACUGAAGAGAUUUGCAAAAAUAUAAAACAAUGCAAUUCUUCUCAUUAACAUUA
rnacentral:lncRNA from 1 species